UUAACUCUGUCUGAAUUGAAAACCCUGCAGGAAACCAUCAGAAGCCACACCCCACAGGGCACCAUCCUCCAACGCCCCAAACACCCAAGGAUGAGAAGCACCAAGGAAAACGGCCCAGGUCAAGGAGACAGGGGUACAUCAACACACUUUCCACAAGGGGCUGACAAGAGGCCAGACACACUUAAAGUCACACUUCCUCACCAGGGAGACGAUGGUUAUCUCAUCAGCUGAUGCUGAAGACUGAACAUGUUAACUAGAUCUAGUCUUUGGCACAACACAAGCAUCAAGCAAGUUCAUUUCGUCACAUGAGUACCGCAUGUUUCUCCUAAACAUUUCCGAUUUGGAAGUGAGGAGUGUAAUCAUCAUAUCUAGUGGUGGUGGUGGGGAACACCCCACCACAGGAACGGCCCAGAAAAGUAGCGGCAAGCACAUCACCGCUGUUUGGCCAGCCCCAAAACCCUGUCUGUGUAAACAGAGGCUGUGAGCUGCCAAGAAUCUUCUUUACAUGCUUGGCUCACGAAAACCCCCAAAGCCUGAAUUUGGAAGCUUCCCAGUCGAUCUCAUUAGGAAUGUGACCUGUGCCCUGGCCUUGGCUGGAAAGGCCACCGGACUCUACAGCCUAAUCUUUGAUGAUAGAUACACCCAGGAUGUCCAGGGAUGCUGCUGCAGGUGACGGUUUGAGCCAUGGUCCAAGCCUACCUACCAGACACGCCUAAGAAUCCAGAUGCAAAGCACGCACGAGAAAGGAUGUACAGCGCCAGAGGAGAAGCCCGACCACCUUGCAAAAACUUAGAACCGGAAAACAAGGAAGGUAAACUUCCCAGGGCUGGAAACCGUGCCCUCCUCUACUCCAGACAGGCGACUACCAGCUUUCUGCCACCCCUCUCUCCCCCCACCCUCCAAGAGGAGCAGGCUGAGAAACCCAAAGCAACAUCUUCAGAAAUGAAAGUGGUUAACCUAGAAUAUCUAACUGGAUGGCCUCCCUGGCUAACACCAGGGACUGCCCAAAGCUUGUUGGCCAGCCUGCUGAGCCAUGGAUACUCACCGGA